rnacentral:rRNA from 1 species
CACGUAGGGCGCAAGCGUGUCCGGAAUUAUUGGGCGUAAAGAGCUCGUAGGCGGUCUGUUGCGUCCCGCUGUGAAAACCUGGGGCUUAACCCCGUGCUGCAGUGGAUACGGGCAGACUAGAGGUAGGUAGGGGAGAAUGGAAUUCCCGGUGUAGCGGUGAAAUGCGCAGAUAUCGGGAGGAACACCGGUGGCGAAGGCGGCAUCUGGACCGACA